UCAUAGCAUAAGGCCCUAUUAUUAGUAAAGUAAAAUGGAGAGUUGUGAAACAUAGAUACUUAACAAAACAAAGCAAAACAUACAAAGAUGGCUACACAACGUGAUAAUUACCUUCGUAUAAAUAAUCUGUUCCACAAAAUUGCGGAACCAACAAUUGAUAAACAGAUGGAAAAUUACCUCCACAGAACAAACCAAUCGCUGGAGAAAUUUCUCAACAAUACAAAUAUUAAGCAUACAAUCAUGCAUUUGUACUGGAACGAUAAAGUGUGCUGUGAGAAUGUUCAAAACUGCACCAGUUCCAAGAAUCGUCCAAUCAGCCGUGACAAGCUUGAUGCUUAUUAUGAUUACGGUUACAAGAUAAACUCACAUUGUAAUAUUCACCCAUGUCUGUGUCACAUUAUUGCCAAACGCAUCUUGUCUCGAGAUCUAGAGAUGCCACAACUUGCUUUCUUAUUUCGGCAAUUCGAAAUUUUGUCGCCAGACAUUUUAGAAUCGGUCGAUAUCAUUCUCAAAGUCCAUACAAAGUUGAAGCUUGACUACACAGACCAACGAAUAAGAGCAAAUGACUUUGAAAAGAUGUGGGCUACCUUAUCUCCAAAUCUCCAAAAGUUAGGAGCAACACAGCAUGAUAUUGGCUUGGUCAGAAUUAGCACAAUUGAAGACUCAAAGAUAAAGCAGAUCGAUAUGACAAGCCCACAAAGGAGAUGUACAGAACUGACGUUGAUCAUCAUCAAUUUAAUAGUUAUUUUGGUUUUACUGGUUGCUGUUAUUGCCUUAGUGAUUACCAUUGCUAUUUAUACCUUCUAAAAGGACUAAGAUUAACAGACAGAGAGUAUGAAGAAACAAACCAAUGAUACAAUGGAAAUGAAUGACAAUGACAUCAAUCCUAUUCCAAUGACGUGUUUCUAUGUUUGACAAGAUUAACAUCAAACAUCCAUUUAAUAAUGCAUGGAAAUAUCCAUAUUUAUCUCCAAAUCGAAUAGAAUUGUUUUCAUAAAACUGACAUGAUUUAAAUGGUAUCACAUUUUGAUUUUAAAUUUUCAUUUCAUAUCGCUGUCAUGUGCUCUUUAAUGUUUAUUGUUUAUAUGUUGAUUUUUAGCAGAUGCGAGUAAUUUUUCAAACUGAAAUUGAAUGUACAUACUCUUUCAUACAAAAUAUAAUUUAUUUGUUUAUUCAUGACAUAGAA